AUGCCAGAGCCUUGGAGUCCUAAGGUUUGCACCACCAAGGGACAGGGCGCGCGGAAGCCACUGGAAACCCUCCUACUUCCGCUCCGCCCCAUCCCGUGUGCCUGUUCUCUUCCAAAACGCACACCUUACAUGCCCAGCGCCAAAGAGGCGCUCCAGGAACCACUCAGAGCAGAAUCCAGACAAAGCAGAGUGGAGGCGGUCGCCGGUGAUGAGAACACACAUGUUCCCACCCGGACCACGCCACACCCACCCAGAACCACAACACAGCCCAUUGGAGGGGUCCCCGCUCCCACCCGGACCAGAACACAGCCCAGUAGAGGGGUCCCCCACCCGGACCAGAACAGACAGCCCAGUGGAGGGGUCCCCGCUCCCACCCGGACCAGAAGAGACAGCCCAGUGGAAGGGUCCCCACUCCCACCCGGACCAUGCCACACCCACCCAGAACCAGAACACAGCCCAGUGGAACAGUCCCCACUCCCACCCGGACCAGAACAGACAGCCCAGUGGAAUGGUCCCCACUCCCACCUGGACCAGAACAGACAGACCAGUGGAAUGGUCCCCACUCCCACCUGGACCACGCCACACCCACCCAGAACCCGAACACAGCCCAGUGGAGGGGUCCCCGCUCCCACCCAGACUAUGCCACACCUACCUGGAACCAGUGGAGAGGUACCCACACCCACCUGGACCACGCCACACCCACCCGGAACCAGAACACAGACCAGUGGAGGGGUCCCCGCUCCCACCCGGACCAGACCACGCCACACCCACCCAGAACCAGAUUGUGGCCAGCUCUGCCCAGCACUCAGCCGACACUCGGGCCGGGCCCCACCUCCCUUCAGCCCGGGCUCUGCAGUCUCGGCCAGGGCCCGCCCCUUCCUCAUCUCACUGCCCCUGCAGCACCGGCCUGCGCCCAGCACAAACACCAGGGCUCACCGAGGAUCAGUCACACACAGAACCAGAGGACUGAUGGGCACAGUCGCCGGGAAGGUGCCCGGCCUGGCUAACAGCCCUCUUCCUGGGUCAUCCGGGGAGGAGGGAGUGAUGCAAGGGACCAUCUCGAGGCUGCAGCCAACAGCAGCAAAGGGCGGGGCCGGCCCAACUUCCAGCCAGAGCCAGUAUGCCUGGGGUGGGCCUGAGACCGUGGACCUGCCACGUUCUCAGCCACGGGGAUGGGCCUCAGCACUGGCCACCCCCGGCCCAUCAGAGGGAGACUGA
rnacentral:lncRNA from 1 species